rnacentral:rRNA from 1 species
GUGAGGAAUAUUGCGCAAUGGAGGCAACUCUGACGCAGCCAUGCCGCGUGCAGGAAGAAGGCGCUACGCGUUGUAAACUGCUUUUAACCGGGAAGAAACCCCAGGACGUGUCCUGGGUUGACGGUACCGGAGGAAUAAGCACCGGCUAACUUCGUGCCAGCAGCCGCGGUAAUACGAAGGGUGCAAGCGUUAUCCGGAUUCAUUGGGUUUAAAGGGUGCGUAGGCGGAGCGUUAAGUCAGUGGUGAAAUCCUGCAGCUUAACUGUAGACUUGCCAUUGAUACUGGCGCUCUUGAGUGCGCUUGAAGUGGGCGGAAUGUGCCGUGUAGCGGUGAAAUGCUUAGAUAUGGUACAGAACACCAAUUGCGAAGGCAGCUCACUAAGGCGAUACUGACGCUGAGGCACGAAAGCGUGGGGAUCGAACAGGAUUAGAAACCCCUGUAGUCC